CGAUGUCAUUUCGAAUUGACCAUGGUUAAUGCUGUAUUGGGGAAUCCCUCCUUUUUCUUGCUGACCAUCGACGAGAAAAAUUCAAAGGAGAAAAGAAGCGGCUAUUGAAACCGUUACUCGAUACCAGUUCAACUAAUAUUCAUAGAAGCAAAUUAAUAAUUUUCCAAUCGACGAUCAAAGCUAUAAAUGCACACUGAAGACGACGACUGUGAUAAGUUUGAUAAAAACUUCUCAAAAAUAUUAAAUGAAGAUGUGCUGAUUAGUCUUUGGUAAAAACAGGUCCAGGCGUUUCGGGGAUGCCGAGCUAAAUGUGAAAAAAAUAAGUCUUUGGAAGAACUAUGCCGUACACCAC